GUGGGUAUAGCUCAGUUGGCAGAGCGUCUGGUUGUGGUCCAGAAGGUCGCGGGUUCGACCCCCGUUACUCACCCCG
rnacentral:tRNA from 2 species